rnacentral:rRNA from 1 species
AAAACUGAGGUGGUAUACGAUGGUUCCGCGUCUGAUUAGCUAGUUGGUGGGGUAAUGGCCUACCAAGGCAACGAUCAGUAGCCGGCCUGAGAGGGUGAACGGCCACAUUGGGACUGAGACACGGCCCAAACUCCUACGGGAGGCAGCAGUGGGGAAUAUUGCACAAUGGGGGAAACCCUGAUGCAGCGACGCCGCGUGAGUGAAGAAGUAUUUCGGUAUGUAAAGCUCUAUCAGCAGGGAAGAAAAACCGACCAUAGGGUCGCUAGACGGUACCUGAUUAAGAAGCCCCGGCUAACUACGUGCCAGCAGCCGCGGUAAUACGUAGGGGGCAAGCGUUAUCCGGAUUUACUGGGUGUAAAGGGAGCGUAGACGGCAGCGCAAGUCUGAAGUGAAAUGCCGGGGCUUAACCCCGGAACUGCUUUGGAAACUGAGCAGCUAGAGUGCAGGAGAGGUAAGUGGAAUUCCUAGUGUAGCGGUGAAAUGCGUAGAUAUUAGGAGGAACACCAGUGGCGAAGGCGGCUUACUGGACUGUAACUGACGUUGAGGCUCGAAAGCGUGGGGAGCAAACAGGAUUAGAUACCCUGGUAGUCCACGCGGUAAACGAUGAUUACUAGGUGUUGGGGGACCAAGGUCCUCCG